GAACGCUAGCUACAGGCUUAACNCAUGCAAGUCGAGGGGCAGCAUGAUUGAAGCUUGCUUCAAUUGAUGGCGACCGGCGCACGGGUGAGUAACACGUAUCCAACCUUCCGUACACUCAGGGAUAGCCUUUUCGAAAGAAAGAUUAAUACCUGAUGGUAUCUUAAGCACACAUGUAAUUAAGAUUAAAGAUUUAUCGGUGAUGGAUGGGGAUGCGUCUGAUUAGCUUGUUGGCGGGGUAACGGCCCACCAAGGCGACGAUCAGUAGGGGUUCUGAGAGGAAGGUCCCCCACAUUGGAACUGAGACACGGUCCAAACUCCUACGGGAGGCAGCAGUGAGGAAUAUUGGUCAAUGGACGAGAGUCUGAACCAGCCAAGUAGCGUGCAGGAUGACGGCCCUAUGGGUUGUAAACUGCUUUUAUAAGGGAAUAAAGUGGGAGUCGUGACUCUUUUUGCAUGUACCUUAUGAAUAAGGACCGGCUAAUUCCGUG
rnacentral:rRNA from 1 species